rnacentral:misc_RNA from 1 species
GAUGAAGAACGCAGCGAAAUGCGAUAAGUAAUGCGAAUUGCAGAAUUUCCGUGAGUCAUCGAAUCUUUGAACGCACAUUGCGCCCACUGGUAUUCCGGUGGGCAUGCCUGUUCGAGCGUCAUUAUCCUCCCUCAAACCCCGGGUUUGGUGUUGGACCCAAGUUGUGUGAACAACUGGUCUCAAAGACAAUGACGGCGUCCGUGGGACCCUCGGUGCAACGAGCUUUUAGGAGCACGCAUCGAGUUGCAAGGACCUUCCGGGCCGGUCUCCUUUACCAUUUAACAAGGUUGACCUCGGAUCAGGUAGGAAUACCCGCUGAACUUAAGCAUAUCAAUAAGCGGAGGA